rnacentral:tRNA from 1 species
GGGCGGUUAGCUCAGUUGGUAGAGCAUCCCGUUUACACCGGGAAGGUCAUCCGUUCGAGCCGGAUACCGCCCA